rnacentral:lncRNA from 1 species
AUUUGGACGUGAAGUCAGCAGUGCCCAGGUUGGAAUGUGCUGCAGAGAUCUGCUUCCCAGCUGCGGCCACAUCUGUGCCUCUUCCUACAACUCUUGCUGCUUCCUCCAACCAUACUGGCCUGACAUCUGCAGCCUCCAAAGGCAGGGCCUUCACUGAGGCUACUUCCUUCCUGUACAGAUGCGGAGAGAUCCCCAGAAACCUCCCUCGCUUCUGCCUUUCUACCUGAUGCUGGUAAGCCAGCACUGCACGGAGCACUGGUAGCUCUCUUACCUCCUGUGGACCUAGAGUGCUUCCUUGCAGCAGUGUUGGGCUCAUGUACUCCAAUCUGGAAAUACACCAUACGCCAGUGAAUUAAACACUGCCUGUGUCCUUACCACCCUCAUCCCAGCCUACCUUCCAUGUUAAGUCUGAAUACUAUUUCAU